GUGCCAGCAGCCGCGGUAAUACGUAGGGUGCGAGCGUUAAUCGGAAUUACUGGGCGUAAAGCGUGCGCAGGCGGUUAUAUAAGACAGUUGCGAAAUCCCCGGGCUUAACCUGGGAAUGGCGCUUGUGACUGCACGACUGGAGUGCGGCAGAGGGGGAUGGAAUUCCGCGUGUAGCAGUGAAAUGCGUAGAUAUGCGGAGGACACCGAUGGCGAAGGCAGUCCCCUGGGCCUGCACUGACGCUCAUGCACGAAAGCGUGGGGAGCAAACAGGAUUA
rnacentral:rRNA from 1 species